rnacentral:rRNA from 1 species
UACGUAGGUGGCAAGCGUUAUCCGGAUUUAUUGGGCGUAAAGGGAACGCAGGCGGUCUUUUAAGUCUGAUGUGAAAGCCUUCGGCUUAACCGGAGUAGUGCAUUGGAAACUGGGAGACUUGAGUGCAGAAGAGGAGAGUGGAACUCCAUGUGUAGCGGUGAAUGCGUAGAUAUAUGGAAGAACACCAGUGGCGAAAGCGGCUCUCUGGUCUGUAACUGACGCUGAGGUUCGAAAGCGUGGGUAGCAAACAGG